UAGGGAAUCUUCGGCAAUGGACGGAAGUCUGACCGAGCAACGCCGCGUGAGUGAAGAAGGUUUUCGGAUCGUAAAGCUCUGUUGUUAGAGAAGAACGUUGGUAGGAGUGGAAAAUCUACCAAGUGACGGUAACUAACCAGAAAGGGACGGCUAACUACGUGCCAGCAGCCGCGGUAAUACGUAGGUCCCGAGCGUUGUCCGGAUUUAUUGGGCGUAAAGCGAGCGCAGGCGGUUCUUUAAGUCUGAAGUUAAAGGCAGUGGCUUAACCAUUGUACGCUUUGGAAACUGGAGGACUUGAGUGCAGAAGGGGGGAGUGGAAUUCCAUGUGUAGCGGUGAAAUGCGUAGAUAUAUGGAGGAACACCGGUGGCGAAGGCGGCUCUCUGGUCUGUAACGGACGCUGAGGCUCGAAAGCGUGGGGAGCAAACAGG
rnacentral:rRNA from 1 species